AGCGAACGCUGGCGGCAGUCCUAACACAUGCAAGUCGAACGAACCUUUCGGGGUUAGUGGCGGACGGGUGAGUAACACGUGGGAACGUGCCUUUAGGUUCGGAAUAACUCAGGGAAACUUGUGCUAAUACCGAAUGUGCCCUUCGGGGGAAAGAUUUAUCGCCUUUAGAGCGGCCCGCGUCUGAUUAGCUAGUUGGUUGAGGUAAUGGCUCACCAAGGCGACGAUCAGUAGCUGGUCUGAGAGGAUGAUCAGCCACAUUGGGACUGAGACACGGCCCAAACUCCUACGGGAGGCAGCAGUGGGGAAUCUUGCGCAAUGGGCGAAAGCCUGACGCAGCCAUGCCGCGUGAAUGAUGAAGGUCUUAGGAUUGUAAAAUUCUUUCACCGGGGACGAUAAUGACGGUACCCGGAGAAGAAGCCCCGGCUAACUUCGUG
rnacentral:rRNA from 1 species